UAGUUUUUCUAAUAUUACAAUAUUUGAUGAGUUUAACUGUUGAUCAGCUUUAAAGAUAUAAGGGUUUGACUAACAGUAGUUCCUUAAACAUUUCCUUCUUUUUCUAUAGUUUAUAUGUUCUACAAUUCAUAAUGUAAUGGUACUCAUCAUCAAUGUUGUUUGUGUCACAGAGACGACAUAUUCUGUCUUCUCUGUGUAAAUCCUGACACCUUCUGGACUCAAUCGGCAACUACCACAUCUAUAUCUGCGUAAUAUAUGAAUUUAGAAAUGUAAAAAGGAGUUUUCUAAUUGAUAAUUCUUUUUGAAAAUAUGACAGCAUUAUGUUUUAUGCGAUUCUGCAUAAAAGCAAAGAAUUCUUCUUGAAACU
rnacentral:lncRNA from 1 species